UCCCAAGAGGACUAGUGGUGAGGCCUCAGCGCUCUCCCCGCCGCAGCCCAGGUUCGGUUCCUGGCCAGGGAA